rnacentral:rRNA from 1 species
UACGGAGGGUGCGAGCGUUGUCCGGAAUCACUGGGCGUAAAGGGCGCGUAGGUGGCCCGGCAAGCGUGCGGUGAAAGUCGGGGGCUCAACCCCCGAUCGGCCGUGCGAACUGGGAGGCUUGAGCACUGUAGAGGCAGGCGGAAUUCCGGGUGUAGCGGUGGAAUGCGUAGAGAUCCGGAAGAACACCGGUGGCGAAGGCGGGGUCUCUGGGCAGUAACUGACGCUGAGGAGCGAAAGCGUGGGGAGCGAACAGG